UGACCUCGGAUCAGUCGUGAUUACCCGCUGAACUUAAGCAUAUCACUAAGCGGAGGAAAAGAAACUAACCAGGAUUCCCCUAGUAACGGCGAGUGAAGAGGGAAUAGCCCAGCACCGAAGCCUGCGGUAGUUUUACUGCUAGGCAAUGUGGUGUUUGGGUCGACUCGCGGGAUUGCCACUCCACUCGAAGUCCAGCACUGAGUAUGGUUCCCUGGAUUUGGCCCAGAGAGGGUGAAAGGCCCGUGCGAGUGGAGGUUCAGACAUGUGAGGCAAUUCACCAGGUCGACCUUCGAGUCGGGUUGUUUGGGAAUGCAGCCCAAAGUGGGUGGUAAACUCCAUCCAAGGCUAAAUACAAGCACGAGUCCGAUAGCGAACAAGUACCGUGAGGGAAAGUUGAAAAGUACUUUGAAGAGAGAGUAAACAGUACGUGAAACCGCAUAGAGGUAAACGGGUGGCGUCAAGCUGCAAGCCUAGAGGAUUCAGUUGGUCGGUGUGUAUGCGCGCCUGGCGCGUCCGUUGGACGAGCAGUCCACUGCGAAAAGGUGGGCCUUGCCUUCUUUCGGGAGGGUGAGGAUCGGUGUCCCGGGAGGUUGCCGGAGCCGGCUGUUUUGUCUGAUUUGGAUGGAUCGGCCAAUGCACUUCCUCUAUUUGGUGAGCACCACGACUGGUGGAACUGCCAGUCUGCCGUAGUCAAGUCGGGUUUGGUCGUUGGCUCUUCGGAGUCGUCGGCUGGGCUUCGAUCAUCACAGGCGAAGUCAGUGAGCGGCGCGUGUAGGUCUCGGCUUGCACACGUGUUAUCGAACACUGCUCGUCAACGGGUCUGUCUGUCUGUCGGUUGAUGCAGUCUCCGGCGGAUGUCCUGGUGGGCUACGGUGGUAUGAAUAACUGUGCAGGGCACCAGGGUUGUCGGUCUCUAGUUUCCGACUCGUGCGCACACUGCGUGUGGGCGUGGGGUGUCACUGUAGGCUGCCAAUUGCUGGGUCUGAUCGUCGUGUUGCCUGCGCAAAGUGGGUCCGGCGGUGGUCUAGUGUUGGAUGGUCUUGCAUGUGGCAGCUUCCUGUGCGAGUCGGCGUGGACCAAACAGUCUGUGGUGUUGUGGUAGACGAGCUACCCGACCCGUCUUGAAACACGGACCAAGGAGUUUAUCAUGCACGCGAGUCAAUGGGUCCAUCGAAACCCAAAGGCGCAGUGAAAGUGAAGUCUCGACUUGUUCUCGAGAUGUGGUGAGAUGCCACUGUUUCUCGCACCCGCCUAGCACUAGGCAUAAGAGCAGUGGUCGCAUCACCGGCCCGUCCCAUGAUGUGGUCGUUGGAAAGGCGUGGAUUCGUCUGCGUUGGAGCCGGCGCGUCAUCGGGGCGGAGCAGGAGCGUGCACGAUAAGACCCGAAAGAUGGUGAACUAUGCUUGCGUAGGUUGAAGCCAGAGGAAACUCUGGUGGAGGACCGCAGCGAUUCUGACGUGCAAAUCGAUCGUCAAACGUGAGUAUAGGGGCGAAAGACUAAUCGAACCAUCUAGUAGCUGGUUCCCUCCGAAGUUUCCCUCAGGAUAGCUGGCACUCAUUCGCAUGAUCAGUUUUAUCCGGUAAAGCGAAUGAUUAGAGGUACUGGGUUCGAAACGAGCUCAACCUAUUCUCAAACUUUAAAUGGGUGAGAUGCCCGGCUCGCUUUAUAGGAGUCGGGCGCUGAAUGUGCGAGUGCCAAGUGGGCCAUUUUUGGUAAGCAGAACUGGCGCUGUGGGAUGAACCAAACGCCCGGUUAAGGUGCCUAACGCUGACGCUCAUGAGAUACCACAAAAGGUGUUGGUUAAUAUAGACAGCAGGACGGUGGCCAUGGAAGUCGGCAUCCGCUAAGGAGUGUGUAACAACUCACCUGCCGAAUUGACCAGCCCUGAAAAUGGAUGGCGCUGGAGCGUCGGACCUAUACCGGGCCGUCACCGCAAGCUGGAUCGCUGGCUGUAUGUGGUGCGAGCAGCACAUGGCCGGUUGCAAGAAAAACAAUCGGUCGCUGUCUUGCGAAGUCAUGAUCCAGGCAAGGAGGCGGUGGCGAGUAGGAGGGUCGCCGUGGUGAGCGUGGAAGCCUCGGACGUGAGUCUGGGUGGAGCCGCCACGGGUGCAGAUCUUGGUGGUAGUAGCAAAUAUUCAAGUGAGAACCUUGAAGGCCGAGGUGGAGAAGGGUUCCAUGGGAACAGCAGUUGGCCAUGGGUCAGGCGGUCCUAAGCGAUCCGGUGUCUCGGUACAGAGACGUGGGGUGCCUUGUAUGCUUCUUCUUCUUCUGCUGUGAGUGUUCUUUUGUGUGAGCUGGCAGCCCCCCGGAGCGAAAGGGAAUCGGGUUAAUAUUCCCGACCCUGCCCACGGAGAUAGGCAAGCGUUCGGCUGGGUCGUCAGUGUGUGCGCUUCGGCGUGCGCAGCUGUGGUCCGUGUCUGGGCGCUGCUAAGCGCGGUAACGCAACCGAACUCGGAGACAUCGGCUUGAGUUCCGGGAAGAGUUUUCUUUUCUUUGUAAGGAGCGCUCACCACCCCUGGAAUCGGGUUGUCCGGAGAUAGGGGUAUCGCCUCCGUAAAGCACCACCCCUCUUGUGGUGUCCGGAACACUCUGGUCGGUCCUUGAAAAUCCGAGGGAGGCAUUAUGAUUUUCGUGGCAGGCCGU
rnacentral:rRNA from 1 species